CACAAGAGGAGUGGGUCGAUGGAUGAAGGGGAUUCGUCGACGGCGACGUCGUCGGAUUACGCGAAGAAGGCGAUGGCGGCGGAGAAGCUGGCGGAGCUCUCGUUGAUUGAUCCUAAGAGAGCUAAAAGCUUAUGAUGAGGGUGGCGAUGAUUUGAAUAGAGGAUCUUCUCAUCAACCUUUGUCUCAGGUGAAUGAAGGUCAAAAUUCAGGUGGAAAGGGCCGAGAAAUCUCAGUAACUGGGGCAAAUUCCAGUGAAGAAGCGAACACUGCUCCAGUGUUUCCCCAGCAGGAUGGAAUCCAUGAUGAAUAUGAUAAUGUAUUUUUUUUACAUAAGAUAGUUCUUUAUUUCUGCUUAUGAGUAAUUUAGCCUAAUAUUUUGUGAGAAUUAGAAAAGAAACUAGUGUUUUCAUGUGACGUAUCCAACAAGCUAUUGUAGUGUUAUCUUCUAUGAUUCAUGACUGCGGUUUCAACGGGUGGCAUGCCUCUGGUAGACCUAUUUGCCGAUGCACUAACAUCCAUUGUAAAUAAUUUAUAUAAAAGUUUGUAAACAAUUUAUGUAUUAUUUGAAUAUAAUUGGAUUUGAUAU